rnacentral:rRNA from 1 species
CACGUAGGGUGCGAGCGUUGUCCGGAAUUAUUGGGCGUAAAGAGCUCGUAGGCGGUGUGUCGCGUCGGCCGUGAAAACCUGCAGCUUAACUGUGGGCGUGCGGUCGAUACGGGCAUCACUGGAGUUCGGCAGGGGAGACUGGAAUUCCUGGUGUAGCGGUGAAAUGCGUAGAUAUCUGAAGGAACAUCAGUGGCGAAAGCGACUUCCUGGACCAAUACUGACGCUCAUGUGCGAAAGCUAGGGGAGCAAACGGG